rnacentral:rRNA from 1 species
CACGUAGGGCGCAAGCGUUGUCCGGAAUUAUUGGGCGUAAAGAGCUCGUAGGCGGUGUGUCGCGUCGGUCGUGAAAACUUGGGGCUUAACCCUGAGCUUGCGGUCGAUACGGGCAUCACUGGAGUUCGGCAGGGGAGACUGGAAUUCCUGGUGUAGCGGUGGAAUGCGCAGAUAUCAGGAGGAACACCGGUGGCGAAGGCGGGUCUCUGGGCAGUAACUGACGCUGAGGAGCGAAAGCGUGGGGAGCGAACAGG